rnacentral:rRNA from 1 species
GAUGAACGCUGGCGGCGUGCCUAACACAUGCAAGUCGAACGCGAAAGGGACUUCGGUCCUGAGUAAAGUGGCGCACGGGUGAGUAACGCGUGGGUAAUCUGCCCCUCAGUUGGGAAUAACCCAUCGAAAGGUGGGCUAAUACCGAAUAAUGCUGUAUCGCCUCGGUGAUUCAGCCAAAGACGGCCUCUGCUUGCAAGCUGUCGCUGAGAGAUGAGCCCGCGUACCAUUAGCUUGUUGGUGGGGUAAUGGCCUACCAAGGCGGCGAUGGUUAGCUGAUCUGAGAGGAUGAUCAGCCACACUGGAACUGAGACACGGUCCAGACUCCUACGGGAGGCAGCAGUGAGGAAUCUUGCGCAAUGGGGGAAACCCUGACGCAGCAACGCCGCGUGAGUGAGGAAGGCCUUCGGGUCGUAAAGCUCUGUCGGGUGGAAGAACGCAUGGGUGCUAAUACCAUCUAUGCUUGACGGUACCGCCAAGG